UACAGAGGGUGCGAGCGUUAAUCAGAAUUACUGGGCGUAAAGCGCGCGUAGGCGGCUUUUCAAGCCGAUUGUGAAAUCCCCGGGCUUAACCUGGGAACUGCAGUCGGGACUGUCUAGCUAGAGUAUGGGAGAGGGAAGUGGAAUUUCAGGUGUAGCGGUGAAAUGCGUAGAUAUCUGAAGGAACAUCAGUGGCGAAAGCGACUUCCUGGACCAAUACUGACGCUCAUGUGCGAAAGCGUGGGGAGCAAACAGG
rnacentral:rRNA from 1 species